CUGUUCUAUUUUAAUGUUGAUCAGUUUUUAAUCUGACAUUUUCUGCUGUUGUUAAGAGAUUGACAACACACUUUAAUAACCUGUUGGAAUCUGAAUGUAUGUGUUUACAACAGAUUUAAUGUUUUCCUUAAAAAAAAAAAAACAUGCACAGAGUGUCUGUGUUCUAGAAAAACAGUUUCAGAACCAGAGACAAUAGGCCCGUUUACACUACACUUUUUUAACCGAGCAUAUCAAGUACCUGGUCAGUAUGAAUGUGUAAGUAUAGAAAUAUUUAACUUAGAAAGAAUUGGUAAUUCUAAACUAUUAUAAUCCAUGUAAAAUGUUAGAAAGUGAGAUGUUUAAUAAACUUUCAGGAUCAAUAACAAGAAGAGAAGUUUGGUGUGGGGAUUUAAUUGCACAUAAUAGAAACAACAAACAACCGCGUGUUAACGUUUUUUUUUUUUUUUUUUUUUUUUUUUUUUUUUUUUUUUUUUUUUUUUUUAAUGUUAGCGAGGCGGUACCGUGAGUUUAGCGAGGCGGCCGCCUCGCAAAGAUAGCGCUGCGGGAAACCCGGACAUAGAGGAACUAUGUCAUGUCUUGAUUUAACAUUAGUAUCCUGUACGAUCAUUAGUUCUUGUGAAUGGUGUGUGAGGGGAGAGUCCACAAUAGGUAGUGAUCACUUUCCUGUUAGCACAAUCAUUAAAGAUAAAUUAUUUAGACAAGAUGAAAUCAGAAUAACAACAUGGUGUUUUAAUAAAGCUGAGUGGCAAAUUUUUAAAACAGUUUGUGAGCGAACAAGUCAUUUAGUCACAUUAAAAGGAAAUAUAGAUGAGUGCACUAAACAGGUAACGGAACAUAUACUGAAUGCUGCAGAACUUAGUAUUUCAAAAGCAACAAUCAAAGGAAAGACAAAAAUUGUGCCAUGGUGGAAUGAGGAUUGUAGUAGAGUGAUUAAAGAACGAAAUAAAGCAUUUAAAACUCUACAGAAAAAUUUGACAGGAGAAAAUCUUAUUAAAUAUAAGAAGAAAGGCGCAGAGGCUCGUAAAAUAAUUAGAGGCUAAAAAGGAAACUUGGAGAAAUUAUUGCUCUUCAAUUGGAGCAGAAAUUAAACUACAAAAUGUUUGGUCAAUGUUUAAGAAGAUGGGUGGAAAAAGAAGUCAAGUUAGAAUUACAGCACUGGUUAGCGGUCAAGAAGUAGUGGUGAUAAAUAAAGAUAAGGCAGAUGUUUUGGGUGAGGCAUUUGCAGCAGUGCAUAGUGGGGAGCAUUUAGGAAAUAUACAUAGGAAUCAAAAAGAACAAAAUCUAAAAGAAUUUAAUGAUAUUUAUAAAAAGAAAAAUAGAUCGGUUUCAGCAUUAGAUGAAGAAAUAAGUAUGAAUGAAAUUAAAACAGUUAUAAAAGAUACUGGAUACUCUGCUCCAGGAGAUGAUAAUCUAUGUUAUGCAAUGUUUAGAAGGUUACCGGAAGCAACAUUAAAAUUUAUAUUCCAACUUUUUAAUAAAAUUUGGAGAGAAUGUAAUGUUCCAAAUAAAUGGACAACUGCAACAAUCCUCCCAUUUAAUAAACCAGGAAAAGAUUCUUCAGACCCAAAUAAUUACAGACCAAUAGCAUUGACUUCUCACUUAUGUAAAUGGAUGGAGAAAAUAUUAGUAAAAAGAUUGGGGUAUAUGUUAGAGCAGAGGCAGAUAUUAAGUAGUUAUCAAUGUGGAUUCAGAACAGGAAGGUCUACAAUGGAUGCAUUAGUGAGAAUUACUAAUGAUAUAGAAAAAGGACUAAAAAUGAAAGAAUUGAUAAUAGCAAUAUUCUUUGACAUAGAAAAAGCAUAGGACUCAAUGUGGAGGGAAGGUUUAUUGAUUAAGUUGGAAAAUAUGGGAAUAGGUGGAAGAAUGUAUAACUGGAUAGCAAGUUUCUUUACAGAAAGGAAAAUUAGAGUCAAAGUUGGGGACGAAUGUUCAAAAGAUUUUAAAGUAGAAAAUGGCACUCCUCAAGGGAGUGUAAUUAGUCCUGUACUUUUUAAUAUUAUGAUUAAUGAUAUAUUCUUAAAUCUGGAUGAAUGCAUUAAAUCAGCACUUUAUGCCAAUGAUGGAGCCAUAUGGAUGAGGGGAAGGAAUGUAUCGCAUGUAGUUAAAAAUAUAAAAAGGGCUGUUAUUAAAAUAGAAAAAUGGUCAUAUGAAUGGGGAUUUAAAUUGUCAGUAAGUAAAUCCUGUUAUAUAAUUUUUAGUAAUAAAAGAAAUAUUGAUAUAGGAGAAAUAAAAUUACAUGAUCAACCUAUGAAAAGAGUAGCUGAAUUCAAAUAUUUAGGAUUAUGGUUAGAUAAUUCAUAUACAUGGAAAUGCAUAUUAAUAAGUUAGAAACAAAAUGCAAGAAAGUAAUAAAUCUUAUGAAAGCCGUGGCUGGGAAUGAUUGGGGGGCUGAUAAGCAGUCACUAUUAAAUAUAUAUAGAGCACUUAUGAGAUCAGCAAUAGAUUAUGGAUGUAUGAUAUAUGGAGCAGCAGCAAAAUCACCAUUACAAAUAGUAGAUAAAUUACAAUAUAGGGCAUUAUGAAUAGCUACUGGAGUAACUUAGACUACCCCUAUUAAAGCUUUUUUAGUAGAGGCUGGAGAAACUUUAGAAAUCAGACGGGUUAAAAUAUCACUUUCAUACUGGAUCAGAAUUAAAAGCAGUAGUGAAAAAACCCCAGCAACAAGCAUAAUAGAGAAUUGUUGGGAGUAUUCCAAAUUUACAAGAAAGGGCUUUGGCUGGAAUGUGAAUGAAUGGGCAAAAAUGUACGAGCUGGAGGAUAAGACAUUUUCAAAAAAUAACCCAAUUAAUGCUGUGCCACCAUGGUUGUUUCCAGAAACAAAAGUUGACCUUAAAAUACAUGAAAUGAAAAGAGAAUGGAAACAUAAUGAAGUCGGGGUUAAAACUAGCUUAUACAUUAGACAAGUGUAUUAUAGUUGUUUAAAAAUAUACACAGAUGGUUCAAAAAAUUCAAAGGGAAAUGUGGGAAUAGGGGUAUUCAUUCCAGAGUUCAAUAUAUGCAUCUGUGAAAGAUUAACAGACCUUUUAUCUAUAUACACAGCAGAAAUGGUUGCAAUUAUUUUUAGUUUACAGUGGGUGCAGGAGGUUAGACCGGACAGGGUGGUAAUUUGCACAGAUUCAAAAGCUGCAAUAGAAAGUAUACACUCAGGAGGAAAUAAUAGGAAAGACCUUGUAUUAGAAAUUUAUCAGAGUUUAUUUAGGUUAUAUAGAUGUGGAAUAGAUGCUCAGUUCGGUUUGGUACCAGCACAUGAAGGGGUGAAAGGAAAUGAAACAGCAGACAAGCUAGCUAAAAAGGCUUUAGGAAAGCAGAAUAUUGAUCAGAUUACAUUUGGGAAAGGGGAAGGUAAAUCAAUAAUUAAAAAGAAAGAAACAGAAAUAUGGCAAAAAAUAUGGGAUGAAGAUGAGAAAGGAAGAAGAUUGUAUAGGGUUCAAAAAUCUGUAAUAAUUAAAAAUUAUGGAGAAAGAAGCAGAAGGGAAGAGAUAAGUUUUACUAGAUUAAGAACUGGACACACCUACUUGAAUGAGUUUUUGUAUUUACUAGGGAAGAGAAAUAAUGAUAUAUGUGAGGGUUGUGGAGGAAAAGAAAACGUGGAUCAUGUUCUGAUGAAAUGCAUUAAAUAUGCAACGGAAAGAGAGAGGAUGAGGAAAGUAAUUAUGGAAAAUGGGAGAGAAUGGAGUAUUAAAACAGUUUAGAGACAGAUGGAGAUAGGGAGGAAAAUAUGGUAAUUCAUAAAGCAUUGUUUUUAUUUUUACAUAACACAAAAUUAAAAACUAGAAUAUAGUUAACCCCACCCACAUAUUGGUUGGUGUUGUUUAGCCAACCAAUAAGAAUGUUGAGGGGUGGAGUUAAACAGCAUCUUCCAGUCUAACAUAAUGAUGGCUGAAAUCCUUUCUGCUCAAAGAGCCAACUUUGGCUCAGUUCCCAAAGACCAGUUGGCUCUUUCAACUCCCAAACGGCUCAUUUUUUUUAACUUGUGACCUCUAAUUUUAGCUUAACUUAAUGGUUUUAUGUGUUUUAUUUUAGGUUAACUUAGAAAUACUUCUGCUUUGUUAUGAGUGAGUGAUGCUGGAGCUGAUGUGUUUUCAAAUAGUCUACAAAACUCCCCAUCCCAAAUCACUGUUUAACAAUUAAAAUUUGGGUAACUUUAAAAAUACACUAAUAUAAAAAUUAUUAUAUAUUUUUCAUAACAGUAACCAUUUGUUUUCAUCCGUGCUUUCCUACCUCCAUCAGCCAGAAACAAACCUUCAUGAGGACUUAGUAAAACCUGCUUUAACUGAUGUGGUUCUGGUCCAGUAGAACCCAGCUGGGCUGCUGCUGAUUUCUCCCCUUCAUCAAGUCCUGACUCAGCAGUUUUGCUCUUUAUGUCCAAGUUUCUGACUGAAACCUCAGAGUUCAGAGAUAAAGUGUUUUGGUGAGCAGCAGUGUCUGAUAAAGAGGUUAAUAAUGAGGAUUAGCUGCUGAAUGACUGGAUGAAGUCAGACUGUAGAUGUUGCUGGUUGUGUGUUGCUGAUGCUGGAGCUGAUGUGUUGCUGACUCUCCUCCUCUGUCUCCUCUCACAGGGAGAAGAUGAUCUGCAGGAUCCUGCUGCUCAUCAUCCUCAACUCAUGUCUCUGUGCAGCUGCUGCUGUCGCCCAACCUCAGAGACCGGCUCUGGAUCCAGAACCACGUGGUCCACGAAGGACCCGCCUCUACGGUUCAUUCCGACCGACAGCAGCACCCCCUCCUGAUGACCCCCCAACUCAGAGACCGACUCCUGAUUCAGAACCAGGAGGUCGAGGAAAGACCGGCAUCUAUGUUUUCCUGGGACUGACAGCAGCAGUAGCAGCAGCAGCUGUGUUAGUGAAAUGUUGUUUUUAUUCGGAGCGACAGAGGCACACAAGUACUGACUGACUGUAGUGUAAAGCACUGUGGGGUUGUUGGACUUGAUACAGCGCUAUAUAAGUACAAGCCAUUUACCAUUUUUAUUUACCAUUUACUAGUUUAGAAUAUAACCAGUAGGACUCAAACUUUAUUUCAGUUUAACAGAACCCUGAAGGUCCACUGAGCUCCUCCUACACAGAUGGCUUCUUAUUGGGAUUUAAAUGACAUGUUCUAAAAUAAAACCUCUUUUUACUUUAUUACAAGAUACCAAUUUAUUGCCUACCACUACCAGAAAAAAUGCUUAAAAAGUUUAUUUUUUUAAGGACUCUGGUCCAACGAGGACAAUUUCUGUCUUGUCAGAAUUUAAAAGCAGAAAAUUUAAAGUCAUCCAGGUUUUGAUGUCCAUAGUCCAAGUAAUAACUCAUUCCCAGUUAGCAUAACAGCAUUUAUUAUCGAUAUUAUUUUCUUGGAUUUAUUUUCAGUGGGUAAAUAUCUUUAUUUUACCCAUAAUAUUAAGGUAAACCCAUUAAUCUCAGUAUCAUUUUCAGCAAUAAUUAGACUUAAACCCUUUAAUUGUCCUCAUAGCCGGUUUUGCUUUUAUUCCAAAGUUCAUAGGGGAAUGUUAAUGGAAUCAUUAAACACACUUAAUAUAACAAAUUUGUCCAAACAGAUUUUUGCUUAUUAUUUUUGAAAAGCUUCAGCCGUCGAUGAUACUGGGAGACACCGGCUGUCUUUAGACUCCCACCUUUACUGCAAAAGCAAAACUAAUCAUUUUUGUUGUAAUAUUCAACACAAUGUAUAAAAUCCGAAGAUCUGUUUAAGAAGUUUAAUUUUGAUCCUGUGUUUUUUUUGUAUUCUUUAGCCUUUCACGUUUCAGUUUUUUGUCAAAAAUGAAAGUGCUUUUAUAAUUAAUUUAAAAAUGACUUCAUCUUCUCAUCAAUGUCCCUUUUCUCAACUGGAAAAACAUAUCAGGUUAUAUUGCUUUUUCCUCUUUCUUGGCUGUGUCUUCUACCUUACCCCAUAGGUUUUGACCAUGUGACAUAUUCGUGGCACUCUCCACCUCCCGUACUGCUCCAGUUCCACACCUCAGUAAUCACCAUCACCUGUCAUGCCCAAUCAAGCCGGGACUCAAUCCAACUUUUAACACUACUAUAAAGACUGUCAUAUGUCAGCUCUUCCUGAUUACAAUAGGAAAGAGGAUCAGUGAUAACAUAUCAGUAUAUACAGGAGAAAUGGUAGCAAUUCUGUUGGCAGUACAAUGGGUAGAGGAAAUAAGACCUCUCAGAGUAAUAAUUUGUUCAGAUUCAUCUUCAUCAUUAAUCAGUUUACAGAGAAGUCAUUCAGAUAGUAGACCAGAUAUUUUAAUAGAAAUCCAGCAAACAUUAUUCAGAAUUCAAAUGAUGGGAAUUACAGUUAUAUUUUUGUGGGUACCAGCACGUAUGGGAAUAAAGGGAAAUGAAAUGGCAGAUAAGGUUGCAAAGGAGGCUACAAUUAGAGAAAACAUUGAUAUCUCUAUUAAAGUUAGUAAGGUGGAAGUAAAGAGCAUUAUUAAACAGAAGAUGAAGGAAAGGUGGCAAAAGCAAUGGGAGGAAGAGAGGAAAGGACGGUGGCUGUACAUGAUUCAGAGGAGAGUGGGAGAAAUGAGUUGUGCAGGGAGGAGCAGAGAGGAAGAAAUAAUCAUAUCAAGACUUAGAUUUGGGCACACAGGAUUAAAUGGAACAUUAUUCAAAAUAGGGAAGCAUAACACUGGAAGAUGUGAGUAUUGUGGGGAACAAGAAACAGUUGAGCAUAUUAUGAUAUACUGUAAGAAAUAUGAAGAAGAAAGAAGGGAAAUGGUUAAAAA